CUACGGGCCGCAGCAGUGAGGAAUAUUGCACAAUGGGGGGAACCCUGAUGCAGCAACGCCGCGUGGAGGAUGACGCAUUUCGGUGUGUAAACUCCUUUUAUAUGUCAAGAAAAUGACGGUAGCAUAUGAAUAAGCACCGGCUAACCCCGUGCCAGCAGCCGCGGUAAUACGGAGGGUGCAAGCGUUACUCGGAAUCACUGGGCGUAAAGGACGCGUAGGCGGGUUGGAAAGUCAGGUGUGAAAUCCUACAGCUUAACUGUAGAACUGCACUUGAAACUUCUAAUCUAGAGUAUGGGAGGGGGAGAUGGAAUUAGUGGUGUAGGGGUAAAAUCCGUAGAUAUCACUAGGAAUACCUAAAGCGAAGGCGAUCUCCUGGAACAUUACUGACGCUAAGGCGUGAAAGCGUGGGGAGCAAACAGGAUUAGAUACCCCAGUAGUC
rnacentral:rRNA from 1 species